rnacentral:hammerhead_ribozyme from 1 species
AUCCAUCUGAUGAGUCCUAAAUAAGAUGAAGUGCACGUCCUGGAU